CCAGCAGCUGCGGUAAUUCCAGCUCCAAUAGCGUAUAUUUAAGUUGUUGCAGUUAAGAAGCUCGUAGUUGGAUUUCGGGUGGGUUCCAGCGGUCCGCCGUUUCGGUGUGCACUGGCAGGGCCCGCCUUGUUGCCGGGGACGGGCUCCUGGGCUUCACUGUCCGGGACUCGGAGUCGGCGCUGUUACUUUGAGUAAAUUAGAGUGUUCAAAGCAGGCCUACGCUCUGAAUACAUUAGCAUGGAAUAACACGAUAGGACUCUGGCCUAUCCUGUUGGUCUGUAGGACCGGAGUAAUGAUUAAGAGGGACAGUCGGGGGCAUUCGUAUUUCGAUGUCAGAGGUGAAAUUCUUGGAUUUUCGAAAGACGAACUACUGCGAAAGCAUUUGCCAAGGAUGUUUUCAUUAAUCAAGAACGAAAGU
rnacentral:rRNA from 1 species